rnacentral:rRNA from 1 species
UGGGGAAUUUUGGACAAUGGGCGAAAGCCUGAUCCAGCAAUGCCGCGUGUAUGAAGAAGGCCUUCGGGUUGUAAAGCACUUUUGUCCGGAAAGAAAUCCUUGGCUCUAAUACAGUCGGGGGAUGACGGUACCGGAAGAAUAAGCACCGGCUAACUACGUGCCAGCAGCCGCGGUAAUACGUAGGGUGCAAGCGUUAAUCGGAAUUACUGGGCGUAAAGCGUGCGCAGGCGGUUUGCUAAGACCGAUGUGAAAUCCCCGGGCUCAACCUGGGAACUGCAUUGGUGACUGGCAGGCUAGAGUAUGGCAGAGGGGGGUAGAAUUCCACGUGUAGCAGUGAAAUGCGUAGAGAUGUGGAGGAAUACCGAUGGCGAAGGCAGCCCCCUGGGCCAAUACUGACGCUCAUGCACGAAAGCGUGGGGAGCAAACAGGAUUAGAUACCCUGGUAGUCCACGCCCUAAACGAUGUCAACUAGUUGUUGGGGAUUCAUUUCCUUAGUAACGUAGCUAACGCGUGAGGUUGACCGCCUGGGGAGUACGGUCGCAAGAUUAAAACUCAAAUGAAUUGACGGGGUCAUAGCUGUUUCCU